AUGGAUUCCCUCCAACACCAUCAAUUUGUUCUGCUGAGUUGUGUGAAUUGGAAUUCCUAUGUGGCCAAACAAGUUGUUGCUCCAUGGUGCAAGAAGCUUAUUGAAAAUGGACAUGGUGAUGUUUGGUAUGGCUAUCCUCCUGUAGUUUGUGAUGAAGGAGACGAUGACGACGAUGGUGGUUAUGAUUAUGCUCCAGCAGCAUAA